UUUUCUGAAGUGUUCUCACAGCACUUGGCACCUGCAUCCCAGUAUUCAAAGAAAGUCCACCACACCAAACCUACGAAAAGGUGAAACAAAGCUUCAGUUAGAUUUCAAAUCAAAUUAGAACUUAGGUGAUCCUUAAAGUUCCAUUUGAAACGCAAAAUGCCACUUAUGUGAACAAGUGAACAAGCUCCAAACUGAUAACCUUCAUAUGUGAACUGAGGGGAUGUUGGAAAGGCUAACUCAAGAGUCUUAGAACCACAGAGGCGAGAGGGAGUCUUUACGGUAGAAGAACACACUGGAAGUGCAUGAAAUAAUAUUUUCUUGACUGAGAAAAGGAAGUAAUUUCGGAACAUGAAAUGGCUGGUUAUAUGGAUAUGGUGGAGGUCUCUGAAUUGCUAAGACUCUCAACAGCUGGUGAGUGGGAGAUCCUCAUGUAAACAGCCUCUUCUGAGUUCAUUCUUCCGGGCUCAUGGGACCAGUCACCUUCGCUUCAGCUGAAAAAUAAACACAUCAAGAAAAUGAAUGCUUCUCUCCUAGGGGAACACAACACAAUGAGAAUCAAUCAAUAACAAGAAAUAGCAUGGGGUCAUCUUUAGAGAAGACACUGUGAAAUGUAAGAAGGCGAAAUACACACACACAUACACAUGCACACACAUGCACACAUAUUAACAAAUAGGAAAAGAGCUUGAGUUCAAAUCUUGAUUUUUAUGCCAUUAUCAGCUAUUUGUGGUCAACUUAGUUAACUUCCAUGCCUACAUUUCCCCCUGUAUCCAAUGAAGAUAGCUAUGGUAUGGUCCUUUACAGUUGUUGUGAGGAUUAAGUGCAUUAACAAAUAUAAAGUGCUUAAAACAGUGCCUGACAUAAUAAUGAAUGUCCAGUUAGUGUUUGCCAAUAUUGGUAUCGGCAUUAUUCUUUGUUGUUUUUUUUCAACAUUAUUCUUUGAAAAAGAUGUUUUCAGAAUAGCUGAACAAUGAAGUCAAACACAUAGUGAGUCGAAUUCAAAAGUAAUCUGAAAAAUCUGAACCUUUCGCACUCUCAAAGACCCAAACCUGAAAUUCAAAUAAGACUUUGGAUUUCUCCCCGCUGUGACUCAGCAGUAGGACAGGUCAAACCAGGAUAAUAGGUGUUCUCACUGUUCAAUUCAAGAAACAGUGACUGUGUAAAGUGUACCAAAGUUGACAACUAUAUACUGUGGUUUUAUAAAAGGAUAUCCUUAUUCUUAGGAAAUAUACAAUAAAGUUGUUAGGACUAAAGGGUGAUGGU